GCUGAUAGACCAAACAUGGCAUCAGUAGUUCUGAUGCUAAGCAGUUACUCUCUUACUCUACCUGUACCCUCACGACCGGCUUUUUUAAUGCUCAGUAGCAUUGAAUCAGAUAUAUCAUCUUCACUGUGGUAUAAUUCCAAGGCAUCAAUGAACGACGUUUCAAUUACAGAACUGGUUCCCCGUUAAAUGUUUGACAAGGUUCAUGUUUUAGUUUGUUAUGUGUUCUUGUAUAUUAUUGAUUUUCAAUUUGAAUUUUGAUAUAUUUACUGUAAAAAAAUUGCAGAAUUUGUGUACUUGAUUUGUGAUAUAAAAUAGAUAUGAAAUAUAUAAAGUAGAAUUCGUAAUCUUUUUAGAACUGCAAUCACACAUUUAUGAUAUAAAGUCGAUAUAACAGUAGAAUUCGUAAUCUUUUUUCUUGAUUAACUGCAAUUACACAUUCAAAUACGAAAUUUGAAUGUGUAAAAGAGGGACUAGAUUUUUCUCUCCGUCUCCUUAUCCACAAAGCAAUUAUUCAAUGAAAUUAGUCAAUAUUAGGAUUAAGAAAAGAGAUGGGACCUACUUAUUUAUAUAGAAUUUUGUAGAUCUUCCCAUGGCAAGUCCAUUAGAGAUGUACAUACUCGUUGCACAUGUGAUCACAUGAACUCAAAUUAGACUCCAUACACAUAUUUUUAAACUAUAUUUAUUCGGUCUACUUUUUCAAAUUAAAACAGUCAACAAUUCAUAGUAGCUUAUAUUAAAAUUUUUAACAUUUAACUUGUGUUUGCAUCAUCAGUAAUCCACUGCUUUGCUCUGAUAAUACCAACAAUGCUUAUUAAAUCUCGUGAAUUUGACUAAAUUGUAAUUUAUUUAGAAUGGUCCGUCUUAUUCGAUUUAAUAAUUGUAGUUUUGUUUCUUUUUUUCUUAUCCCUUCGUAUUAGAAUAUUGUUUGGACAAUGCCUCUUUGAAGAUAAAAUUCAAAGUUGUCGUUUUGUAUCAUUGUAUGAAACUCCAGUCAAAUAAACGGACAAAAAAAAGAUGAUAGCGUGUUCCUGUCACAUCAAUAUUUUAAUACACUGUUAUUAUAUUUGUACGUGUUUAAAAAAAAUGUUAAUUAAUCUAUAAAUCUCUACUGUUUGCAAUUUAGUUGAUAAUGUAAUUGGAAUGUGUACAAAGAGCUUUUGAAUUUACUUCGUACUAAAUAUAUUUUUAAUGGGAAGCGAAAAUUUUAAUUGUGACUAAAUUUUCAGUCCAAUAAUUUGGAGAGUAAAAGAUAUAUUAUUAAAUUUAUAGUUUGUUAAAAGAAAACGUAGUCUUAAUUUCAUUAAAGAAAAACAGUGAUAAUAUUAAUUAUUUAUUUGGUUUCGUGUCUGAAAAUAAAUAACUUUUCUAAUAAGAUAUUAUUGCCUUUAAACAUACGGAUUGGAUAGGCUUUGACAUAGCUGGGCCGAGCUACAUGGCAGUUAAUUGCCCAGUGGUCCAAAUAAUUUAAUUGGGAGAAAUUAACGACGCAGCGGACUGAAAUUGUAAAACGUAAGCCCAUGUAUUCUGGACCGGCUUUUGUAUCCCAAAUACCCAUGACCUAGAAAUAGGAUGUGUCCCUAGCCACUGAACCGAUGGCACCGGCACCACCUGCAAUCACCACCAUCACUAUGGAAAUUGUCGCCGUAGGUGGCGAUGUAUCUCGCCAUAGCCAUUCUUUCCGUUUCUUCUACCGUCACCAACCGCUUUCUCCAUUUCCAUAAUCACCAAUUCUCCUGGGAUUUUAGCCAGCUCCAAAUUAGUUAAAUUUAGUUAAAGUUUUAGCUAAAAUUAAAGAAGUUUUGGCUAUAAUCCCUUUUGUGAGUAGAUGAAAUUAAUUUCAAAUUUUCAAUAUUAUUACCCAUUCUUUGAAGUCUAUUAUAUGGAUUAUUCGAGUCCCUUUCACAUUUAUAAUUAAGACCACUCAUAAAAGGCAAUACUUUCAAUACCUUCUCAUUCUUCUUCUUCUUAUUAUUAUUAUUAUUGUAGAGCAUUGAUUCUGAUGGGAGUGGAAAUACUUACUUUUACUCUAUUUACUUUUUUUUUUUUUUCUUUUUUUUUUGGAAACCAUAACCAAGACAGCGGUGAAAUUAUGACUUUUUGUUCUGUUGGACCAAGUCGUCGCUUGAUCAAAUGGGCCUGAGCCGCAUAGAAGGAUUAAGGAAGAGUGCAGAGAUUGGCUGUAAGGAAAGACAAUAUAAAGUAGGUAGUGCAGUGAAUACAAUUCACAAGCGUAAUAAAGUCAAUAAAGUGAUAGGUUGGUGACUGGAAACUGCGUUAUUGUUAAUGAGAAUUUAACAAUCCAUUCAGUUCAAUUUUGGGUUUGGGGCUUCCUUUUCCACAUCCUGCAAUAUCCCAUCUCAACUGCUCAUGAAUCAAACUUGCGAAUGGUAUAACCAUGCGCUGCAAAGAUUUUGUUUGUCUUAUUUUCCAUCUUCUGAUUGGCAUCAACCUUGCCAAUGCUCUGUUGAAAUGUUACGACACAGGAAACUUCACAGCCAACAGUACAUACGCCAAUAACCGAGCUCUCAUCCUCUCUUCUUUAGCUUCAAACGUCACAGCGAAUGGAGGUUUCUACACCACUACUGUAGGCCAAGGGGCGGAUAAAAUUUAUGGUCUGGUGCUUUGCAGAUUUGGCUCUUCAUCAGAAGAUUGUUCCAAAUGGGUCAAUGAUGCAAUUGAAGAGAUAACCACAAACUGUCCUAACCAGAAAGAAGCAGUGAUAUGGGCUGGGAAUCCUUGCACAAUACACUACGCGAAUCGCUCUUUUUUCGGACAGCUGGAGAUAGACCCUACCGAUGCUGGCUAUAAUACCGGUAACCUUUCGUCUAAUAUUAAUAUGUCUGAGUUUGAUCAAACUUGGACUAGUUUGAUGGAAAGCUUAGCAACGAAAGCUUCUAUGUCCAAUUCUACGCUUAAGACUGCGACAGAAGAAGCAGACGUCAAGCCCCUUGAAAGAAUAUUUGCACAAAUGCAGUGUACUCCUGAUUUAUCCUCGAGCGAUUGCAGCUAUUGUCUACGACAGGCAGCAAGUGCUUAUAAUAACUGUUGCCAUGGGAAGCAAGGAGGUUAUGUUACGAAGCCUAGUUGUACACUCCGAUGGGAUUUGUACCCAUUCUAUACUCCUAUAGCUGAACCUCCAACACCAUCUCCUCCACCUCUACUUAGUAUUUCUCCCCCUUCAAUCAAUAAUACAAUGAAAGGUAGCUAUUGUUAAUUAGUUCACUUUCAUUUUGUGUUAAGCAUAUCUAUCUUAUUUUUUCUUUUAUUUGGACUUUUGUCCAUUAAUUUGUUGUUAAUUUUUCUAAAUUAGCCAUAAUUUAAUGGGAUCAGACUGGCUUUUGCAGGGGAGAAGAGCAAUGAAGCACGUACGAUUGCUAUCAUAGUUGUUCCAAUAAUUGUCGGCACUGUAAUUCUUGUCAUCUGUUUCUGCAUCUUUUUAAGAGUUCGGAAGCCAAGGGAAAGUUUUGAAAGUAAGUAAAUAUUGGCUUACUUAAAUUCCAUUAUUAUUUUCAAAACCUGUGAUAGAAAAGCCAUUGAGAUGUUGUGCACUAACCAUUGGCUUUGCACCUCUCAUAAAGCUGAUGAAAUAAAAAAUGUGGAGUCAUUGCAAUUCGAUUUUGGGACUAUUAGAGUUGCAACAAAUAACUUUUCUGAAGAAAAUAAGCUUGGACAAGGUGGAUUUGGUGCUGUUUACAAGGGCACGCUUUCUGAUGGACGAGACAUAGCAGUGAAAAGGCUUUCUAAAGAUUCAGGACAAGGAGAUUUGGAAUUUAAAAAUGAAGUUCUACUGGUGGCCAAGCUUCAACACCGGAAUUUGGUUAGGCUUUUGGGAUUUUGCUUGGAAGGAAAAGAAAGGCUCCUUAUAUAUGAGUUUGUGCCUAACACCAGCCUCGAUCAUUUCCUUUUUAGUAAGGAUGCAAAUCUACUUUGUUUUUGUUUUAACUUAAUAUUUCAGAUAACAUAGUUUGAAAAAAUUGAGAUAAUUGUAUGAAUGUAUAGAUCAAAACAGGCGGCAAAUGCAUUUGGAUUGGCAUAGGCGUUAUAAGAUCAUUGGUGGUAUUGCUAAAGGACUUCUUUACCUUCACGAGGAUUCUCGGUUACGGAUAAUUCACCGUGACAUGAAAGCGAGCAAUAUUUUGCUAGAUGCAGAGAUGAACCCGAAAAUUGCAGAUUUUGGCAUGGCAAGAUUGUUUGCGGUGGAUCAAACUCAAGGCAAUACAAGUAGAAUUGUGGGUACCCAGUAAGUAUCUAAACAACACAAAAAAUAAUGAUAAUAAUAAAUAAAUAAAACAUCGUUCAAUACAUAUUUAAAAUCUAAACUUAUGUAAAUUUGUAUACAGUGGCUAUAUGGCUCCAGAGUAUGCAAUGCAUGGUCAAUUCUCAGUUAAAUCAGACGUAUUUAGCUUUGGUGUGCUGCUUUUAGAGAUUGUAUGCGGUCAAAAGAAUAGUAACUUCCGUAAUGGGGAGAAUGUAGAAGAUAUUUUGAGCUAUGUAAGUAUAUAAUUCUGUGAUCCAACGGACGGUCUCUUCAAUCGUCCUAAAUGAAACCUUAAUUGAUAAACCUUACAUGCAGGCAUGGAAAAACUGGAGGGAAGGGACAUACAUGAAUCUUAUAGAUCCUAUACUGAGAACAUCUGGCUCGACAAAUGAAAUGAUGAGGUGCAUCCACAUUGGAUUACUGUGCGUUCAAGAAAAUGUGGCUGAUAGGCCAAACAUGGCAUCAGUAGUUCUGAUGCUAAGCAGCUAUUCUCUUACUCUACCUGUACCCUCAAAACCAGCAUUUUUUAUGCACAGCAGCACUCAAUCAGAUGUGUCUUCUUCACUGGGGUGUAGCUCCAGGGCGUCAGAAACAGAGUCCUCACAAUUUAAAAUUGGAACUCUUCCAUUAUCAGUGAAUGAAGUUUCAAUU
rnacentral:lncRNA from 1 species